AGCAAGAUCAGGCCUAACACAUGCAAGUCGAGCGGAAACGAUGGGAGCUUGCUCCCAGGCGUCGAGCGGCGGACGGGUGAGUAACACUUAGGAAUCUACCUAGUAGUGGGGGAUAGCUCGGGGAAACUCGAAUUAAUACCGCAUACGUCCUACGGGAGAAAGGGGGCAACUUGUUGCUCUCGCUAUUAGAAUGAGCCUAAGUCGGAUUAGCUAGUUGGUGGGGUAAAGGCCUACCAAGGCGACGAUCUGUAGCUGGUCUGAGAGGAUGAUCAGCCACACCGGGACUGAGACACGGCCCGGACUCCUACGGGAGGCAGCAGUGGGGAAUAUUGGACAAUGGGGGCAACCCUGAUCCAGCCAUGCCGCGUGUGUGAAGAAGGCCUUUUGGUUGUAAAGCACUUUAAGCAGUGAAGAAGACCAUAUGGUUAAUACCCAUAUGCGAUGACAUUAGCUGCAGAAUAAGCACCGGCUAACUCUGUGCCAGCAGCCGCGGUAAUACAGAGGGUGCAAGCGUUAAUCGGAAUUACUGGGCGUAAAGCGAGCGUAGGUGGCUUGAUAAGUCAGAUGUGAAAUCCCCGGGCUUAACCUGGGAACUGCAUCUGAUACUGUCAGGCUAGAAUAGGUGAGAGGAAGGUAGAAUUCCAGGUGUAGCGGUGAAAUGCGUAGAGAUCUGGAGGAAUACCGAUGGCGAAGGCAGCCUUCUGGCAUCAUAUUGACACUGAGGUUCGAAAGCGUGGGUAGCAAACAGGAUUAGAUACCCUGGUAGUCCACGCCGUAAACGAUGUCUACUAGUCGUUGGGUCCCUUGAGGACUUAGUGACGCAGCUAACGCAAUAAGUAGACCGCCUGGGGAGUACGGCCGCAAGGUUAAAACUCAAAUGAAUUGACGGGGGCCCGCACAAGCGGUGGAGCAUGUGGUUUAAUUCGAUGCAACGCGAAGAACCUUACCUGGUCUUGACAUAUCUAGAAUCCUGCAGAGAUGCGGGAGUGCCUUCGGGAAUUAGAAUACAGGUGCUGCAUGGCUGUCGUCAGCUCGUGUCGUGAGAUGUUGGGGUAAGUCCCGCAACGAGCGCAACCCUUGUCCUUAGUAACCAGCGGUUUAAGCCGGGAACUCUAUGGAUACUGCCAGUGACAAACUGGAGGAAGGCGGGGGCGACACCGACCGCUCAAGGUCAU
rnacentral:rRNA from 1 species